rnacentral:rRNA from 1 species
UACGGAGGAUCCAAGCGUUAUCCGGAUUUAUUGGGUUUAAAGGGUGCGUAGGCGGCCUUGUAAGUCAGGGGUGAAAGACGGUAGCUCAACUAUCGCAGUGCCCUUGAUACUGCAGGGCUUGAAUACACUAGAGGUAGGCGGAAUGUGACGAGUAGAGGUGAAAUGCGUAGAUAUGUGGCAGAACACCGGUUGCGAAGGCAGCUUACUGGGGUGCAAUUGACGCUGAGGCGCGAAAGCGUGGGGAGCAAACAGG